CUUGAAUUUAGUUAAAUAUGCACCCUUCCUGCCUUUACUCAAGAAGUUCAGUGUUUCCAAAGCUAUGAUUUAAGGGUAAACAUUCUUCCUCUCUGCAUCUUAGGGCUUCUGAUAUUCUGGAGAAACCAGUGUUAUCUGAGUGUCAAAGCUCAGUUAUUAACCCUUUCUCAGAGUUUCUGGAUAAUGUUAUUAGCUUUCAAGCACGUGAUGCUUCUCAAGAGAGCUGUUGACUUCCAGUCUGACCAAAUUCUUUCACGUCGUGGCGUGUACGAUGUAUAAAAGUUUUGGAAUGUCUCUGAGAUGACUUCUUCAGCCAAAAUCUCAUCCACUCCUCUGCGUCCGUCCACAUGUCCUGGGAAGCCUUCCCUGAUCACCUCAGAGCAGCUUCCGAAUGGCUCCAGAGCAAUAAAGGUUGUAAGACCCCCAGUCCGAAGGGGUCCUGUCCCAUACUCGGGAAGAAGGAACGCUGCAUAGACAGGCCAGGAAGAAUCUCGGCCUUACCGGGUUUCCCCACUCAAUCUAUAAGCAUUAGAUCAUACUCUUUUUGUCCAAUCACAGUUCUCCUUGGUUGUCAAUCAUACCUAUCCAAUAAAAUCUCCAUAAAAGGCCCAAGAGGAUAAGGUAUGGGAAACUUUUGCACAGCUGAAGUUCUGGAGGCUUGCAAGAAAAUGAACAAGAAUUCAUCCGCCUGCCGGGAGGGUGGCGCAUCCCUCUCCACGGGAACUGAGGCUCCUGCAGUCAGGACCCUUUCAGACCUCACCCUAUGUAUCUCUUCAUCUGGCUAUUUAUUUGUAUCUUUUAAAAUAGCCUUUAAAAUAAAUCAGUAAACCUAAGUGUUUCCCUGAGUUUUGUGAGCCACUUUUAGCAAAUUAAUCGCGCAUAAAGUGGUGGUCACCCAACUU
rnacentral:lncRNA from 1 species